GAUGAUAGUGGGCGAAUUUUUUGCGAUCCGUCAAAAAACGAAAAAAAAAAAAGACUUUCAGCUAGUGGUGGGCAGAGCGAGGCUUCGUGAAACACUGAAGCAGUCGAAGCAAAUGUUUCGAGGCUUCGAAACAUUUCGACACCCGUCUCUACGGUGAUACCUAGUGGUUAUUUUCAAGUAUUGCUCUGAAACAGCGUCGAUAAAGAAACAGUUAAGCGAAUUAACGAUUUAUAACGUAGCCUAUGUUGUAUUAGCCGAUCCAUCAAGUGAUUUGGGGAAUGGUUAGUGUGCUCGACUGGAAUACAGUCACCUUGGGUUCGAAUCCUGGGUGAUGCAGUCAUGUUGACAAAAUUAUAAAAAACAAUUAAAAUGUGUGUUUUUAUUGUUCUGUUCUUGUAAUGUGUUGAAACAUCAGUCUGAAUGAACUCUUUGUGAAUAAGUAAGUGCUAUUUUGGUAAUGAAAAAUAUACAAUAAAGUACAUCAAGCCACUUUGUUUACAUAUAAAGAUUUUUAUUUAAAAAUAUUAAUUGUUCUGCUCGAUGGACUUAGCCUACUUCUUUUUUUACAUAUAAUUUCUCCAGCCUUUGAAAAAAUCCUCUCACAAAAACCCACGAAGUGAAGAUGCGUUAACUCCACUUUUCUACUUUGUGGGAGUUAGGUUGAGACAGAUGUACGAUUGUGUGAUUUGUUACCGACCCUGUCAAUCAAACGCAGAGUCGGCAGGUAUGCAAAGUCUCAAAACACUUGUGACACGCCCUGAUGCUUCGAUCGCCUUACUGGAAAAAUUACCGAGGUCCGGACCUCGGGGACCUCAGUGGUGGGUACGGCCCUGAUCGAACGUGAUGGAGAACAGCGACGAGGGUGUUUUCAAAUGGACAGAUGAGACACACGUGUGUUUAUCCGGUGCAGAGUGACUGAUGGAGGAAUGCUGUCAUCAAAGGCUUUGAAGCUUCUGUGGUGGAGCAGGUGACAGCUGCAUUUGUGGGGAAAAAAAGGAAAACCUGAAACAAAAAUAUAAAUUAAGAAAUCAUUUUGUUACUUCUAAGAUAAGUAGAAAAUGACAUUGUGCUGUUAAAAUGAUUGCUUUUGUAUUAGAUUUGUGCAUCUUUGCAGGAUCUGAAAUGUCUGCAGACUGGUGUGAGCAGUGAGGAUGGACAAGUCCACAGCAUCAUCCUAGAAAUGGUCCAGUGCCAUGGAUGAGAUGCUCCAUCACUCCAUCUGCCCUCAUCUGGACCAGACGCUGCUGUGGUCACUCUCUUCAUCCUCAGGACCCCAAUCCCCCUGCAGCAGCUCGGAGUAAAGAGCCUUGCUGAAGGACACACUGGUGGUGACGACUGCAGAGAUCAAACCAGCAACCUUCUGCUUACCAGUUCAUCACACCACAAAAGUAGUUGUUCUCAUGGAGAGCAGCACAUUAAUGUUUGGAGCAGACACUGCGGCAGCCAGAUUGUCCCGCACAUGUUCUCCUGCUCUUGUUCAGGAUUGUAUGGUACGGGGGCCUCAUCCUCUCUGUGCACUCAGGCAAUGAUAGCCUCGAUGUCCCUUUCUCAUCCAUGAUCAGAUAUUCAUUUUUCCAUGGCCACGGAGGAGAAUCAGAGACUGUGGGUCACAUUCAGCGAGUCACAAACUCGCUGUAUUUUUAUAUUUAUUUCAACAAAUGACAAGCAAAAUCAAAUCCCUAGGAGCUUGUGAACAGUUUUGUAGCAUUUUAAAAUGCUGGUUUAAUGUACAGUAAUGCUUAAAGACAUGCAGGUGAGCCAGAAUAUUAACACGACAUGUUUAAACAUUAAGCGUUUUCCUCCCUUUAGAAAAAACGUAAUGUAGAAAGCGCUUAUGGAAAAAUAUUAGUGAUAUUUAAUGUUCAUAUUUUGCGCUCAUCUGUUUUUCCGCACAUAUUAUGAUUUAUUAUAAGUAAGGUAUGUACAGAAUGUGGUAUUUUAUUAUCACUGUCUCAGUGCAUUAAGCGUGUUCCUAUGAGAGGAAAAUGCUUAAUGUAAAUAAACGCGCUGCGUUCACAUUUUGAUCUUAUAUGCGUAUCUGCACAUAGUAUAUGCUUUACAAUUUUGUCUUUAUCACUGUCUUGGUCCAUUAAGCCACUUUAAGCAUUUUAGAAAGGGUCCUGUUCAAGUUCUGCUAAUUCACAAGCCUAGUGAGAGUCAUACUGUCAGACUGUGUCUCAGCGUCUUGUGUUUUCCCCUCCUCUUGUGACCUUAUUUGGAGUUCCUGUCCGUGUCCUAGUUUUUGUCUUCAUUAGUUAAUCAGUCCCCAGCCCUGUGUCAUUAAUUAUCUCGUUUCCUAGUAUUCUUAAGUCCUGUGUUCCCUCUCCUCUGUGUUCGGUCUUGAUUGUCAUGCGUACGUCUAAAAUUUGUUUUGUGAAUGUCUAGUUUGUCUUUGCUUAUGGUUAUUGUAAAUAAAGUCCUUUCUCCGAA